AUUGAACGCUGGCGGCAGGCCUAACACAUGCAAGUCGAGCGGAUGAAGGGAGCUUGCUCCUGGAUUCAGCGGCGGACGGGUGAGUAAUGCCUAGGAAUCUGCCUGGUAGUGGGGGAUAACGUCCGGAAACGGGCGCUAAUACCGCAUACGUCCUUAUGGAGAACGUGGGGGAUCUUCGGACCUCACGCUAUCAGAUGAGCCUAGGUCGGAUUAGCUAGUUGGUGGGGUAAAGGCCUACCAAGGCGACGAUCCGUAACUGGUCUGAGAGGAUGAUCAGUCACACUGGAACUGAGACACGGUCCAGACUCCUACGGGAGGCAGCAGUAGGGAAUAUUGGACAAUGGGCGAAAGCCUGAUCCAGCCAUGCCGCGUGUGUGAAGAAGGUCUUCGGAUUGUAAAGCACUUUAAGUUGGGAGGAAGGGCAGUAAGUUAAUACCUUGCUGUUUUGACGUUACCAACAGAAUAAGCACCGGCUAACUUCGUG
rnacentral:rRNA from 1 species